GACGAACGCUGGCGGCACGCCUAACACAUGCAAGUCGAACGGACUUACAAGAGCUUGCUUUUUUCAGUUAGUGGCGGACGGGUGAGUAACACGUGAGCAACCUGCCUCUGAGAGGGGGAUAGCUUCUGGAAACGGAUGGUAAUACCCCAUAAAAUAUAAAUAUCGCAUGAUAGAUAUAUCAAAGAAAUUCGCUCAGAGAUGGGCUCGCGUCUGAUUAGAUAGUUGGUGAGGUAACGGCUCACCAAGUCGACGAUCAGUAGCCGGACUGAGAGGUUGAACGGCCACAUUGGGACUGAGACACGGCCCAGACUCCUACGGGAGGCAGCAGUGGGGAAUAUUGCACAAUGGAGGGAACUCUGAUGCAGCGAUGCCGCGUGGAGGAAGAAGGUUUUCGGAUUGUAAACUCCUUUUAUCAGGGACGAUAAUGACGGUACCUGAAGAAAAAGCGCCGGCUAACUACGUG
rnacentral:rRNA from 1 species